UAUACUAAAUAUAAAAGUGCGAAGCUUCUACUGUCCAUCGCUCUAUUUCGCGUUUCAAAUUCUGCCGCGGCCGCCACCGCCCUUUGCUGCCUUUGUAUUCAUUCGCCGCCCUCGCCAUCCACUCAGCGGCGCCAAGGUUGAUUACCUCCGCCUAUGGAACCACUACUUUCAACCGUUCGCCCCUUUUCUCCGAUUCCCCUAUCGUGCCUGUUUCAAAGUCAUCUCCGAUGGCCUCCUUGCUAUGAGUCGUACUUUCCCAGUUGCAGCCCCACCGUACUGUUCGUGAAAAUGCCUGUGUAUGUUUAUUCUCUUCCAACUGCGGUCGCUAAUCGCAUCCAUUGCAGCCACAUAGAGACCGAUGUCGUAGUCCGCAGCAUGGGUUGGCCGAAAUCACUCAAAUGUCUGGAGGUCGUCAAACUCGAUCAUCGGCAUGCUGCAGUUUUGGUUGUUACGUGAUCUUAGAAUUGAAAUACCCCCAUGGAAUAAUAAUCAUGGUCAAUUAUGGUCGUGCAAUAGAAGCAAAAGAAAUUGGAUGCUACCACAGCGCCGCAAAAGGAAACGUCAAAGUGUUGCUGAGAGUGAUGCGUACUGCAACACCUUUUGUGCACAUCGUCACUUGAUCGUGGGAGCUCCUCCUCAUACCAUAUGCAGCGCUUUGUCCCAAGUACCAAUCACAUUUUGUCAGCAAUCAUAUCUUAUGUCCAUUACAUAUGAUGUUUUGACGUCAUGUCAAGUGCGGGAAUUCUCUUGAAGAAUUCUGCAGCGGGGAUGACAGCUUAGUUGUUCCCUUCUCCAGCAAUGGUAGUAAUCCUAACUUGCCUAUAAAAAAUGACAGUCCCUAACCAGGAGAUUCAGAAACCAGAUAUUUAGCAGAUGCUGCCAAACAGAUAACAGAGCCAUCAAAUGAGUCCGACUCUUUUAGCAGUCGGAUCCAUUACCAGAAGCUCGAUGAUGAGAUCACUAGGGGUCCUCCAGGCAAUGAGACAGGCGAUUGCUAGCUCAGAAGAAUUUCCUCCAUAACCUGUACCAGCAGCUUGAGUAUGACAUCUCUGAGCUGAGGGAACAAGGACUAUCCAAUGGCUCCAGUGCCUUGGGGAACUCUGUGUCUAAAAGAAUGGAUCAGACAGAUAAUGCGAGAGUACAAGAAACUCUUGGAGAUGAUGGAAAUGGCAAAAGGAUUAGGAAGGACUUCGAAAGAAAUUCUGAGGGAGCAUUUUCAGUUUGGGUUUAGGGGAAAAACCGUGCAAGUGGUAAUGGCUUUUAUUCAGAAAGUGGCUCGAGUUGAACUUGGUGCCUGGGGAUUCAUGUUGCUUGUUCAAGUUUAGUAUACAGGCUGGUUAUGCUGCAUUCAGAAAUUUCAAGCUCCAGUCUUGGAUUAGAUCGAGUUGUCUAUAUGUUGACAUCGUGGUAAGCUAGAGGUAGGAGUGAAAAAUGUAGCGAGAAGAUAGUCGAGUGACGGACUUGUUGGAUCAAGAAAAUUAGUUCUCAGCUUUUAAAAAGAAACCUGAAAAAUAUGUGCGAAGGGAUCCACCACGAGCUUGUCUGAUAUGGUUCAUAUGGGGUAAGUACGUACUGGGUCCCAUUUCUCAGAAUGGUACUUUGAGGACCUGAUCUGCUAUUCUGUAUCUCACAUUUUCUUAUCUUUGGUUUUAUAAGAAUUUUUAAUUUUACCAACUUUACUAUUUGCUGCUUUCUUGCUGUUUUCCAACAACAUUUACAACAAUUGAAAUCGAAUUGUGAAAUAAAAUAUCACGACUUGUGUAUCUAUCGUUUUAAAACAAAUUCGAAUCAGUGAAUUGUAACAGAAUCCAUUGGUGGCUUCCAUUCCCCUCAAUGUGUUUUUUCAUUUAUUCCAGAAACAAAUUUUUAGUUGUCUAUCACCGUGCUUAUGUAGAGCCCUUAGUUCAGGCUAUUUAGUAAACUUCUUUCCUACUCUUAUUUGUUAUUUUAUGUAGAAAAUCUAAAAAUAAAUUGGUGUAUAAAACAUUCAAAUCUUUUUUUUAAAAUUAUUUUCCUGCAAAUUGUUAUGAGCCUUAUUUAGUUUUUAUUUUUUAUUUUUUCAAACUCCAGCUAUUACGGCCCCUUGUUUAUGCUCGAUCGUUCUUGCUGCUACUUCCACUUUAGUAUAUCUGCAUUAUCUUUGUUCUGCACUUCAAUUGGUCUUAUGGUAGGAAACUCACCCAGUUCGUGUGCAUGUGCUUUUACCCUCUCAUGUCUUUUGAUAGAGAAUUGCGUCUGAAGAUAUGUACUUCCCAAAACAAAAUAAAUUGUGUCAUCCCUUGCCCGUA